rnacentral:lncRNA from 10 species
CUGCAAGAGGGGAAGUUGCUACUGUGAUGAAUUCUGCCAUGUGGCACCAGACUGCCACCCAGACCACAGUGUCCUCUGCAACCCUGGUAACUCACAUACAGGCCCGAUUCCACCUACAGCAAAGCUGGAUGCGAUGGCUGGCAGAGGCAAACCCUUUGCCUGCACUUCAGGCCAAAGCCGGGAUGUGGCCUAGAUGGUUCCUAAGGUCCCUGACAAUCCUGAGAUCUUGCAUCUUGUCUAUUUCAGGUCAAAGCUUCUCAGAUGACCAAGAUGGUGCUGCAGAUGGUGCUGAGGAUGGAGAACCCACCAAGCCCCGCUAGGAGCCACCUAGACUGGAUGCAGAGCAUGUUGAUGACACAGGGCACCCACAGCGCUCACGUGCCUUCCAUGGUGGGGGUGAAUCCUUUGCCAAUAGUGCCUGGUGGGUUUCAGGUAAGUUGUAACUUUUGGACCUUCUGCUGUCUCU